CAGGAAGAGAGCUGUAACACUUGAUUGGUGCCAUGCAAUAUUGGGAAGGCUACUACAGAAGAGAUGCUGUGUCCUUCUUGGGGCAUCACGUCAGAGGGUGACCUGCGCACAGAAGAUGCUCACAU